rnacentral:rRNA from 1 species
CCUACGGGGGGCUGCAGUGGGGAAUAUUGCACAAUGGGCGCAAGCCUGAUGCAGCCAUGCCGCGUGUGUGAAGAAGGCCUUCGGGUUGUAAAGCACUUUCAGCGGGGAGGAAGGCGGUGAGGUUAAUAACCUCAUCGAUUGACGUUACCCGCAGAAGAAGCACCGGCUAACUCCGUGCCAGCAGCCGCGGUAAUACGGAGGGUGCAAGCGUUAAUCGGAAUUACUGGGCGUAAAGCGCACGCAGGCGGUCUGUCAAGUCGGAUGUGAAAUCCCCGGGCUCAACCUGGGAACUGCAUUCGAAACUGGCAGGCUAGAGUCUUGUAGAGGGGGGUAGAAUUCCAGGUGUAGCGGUGAAAUGCGUAGAGAUCUGGAGGAAUACCGGAGGCGAAGGCGGCCCCCUGGACAAAGACUGACGCUCAGGUGCGAAAGCGUGGGGAGCAAACAGGAUUAGAUACCCUAGUAGUC